UCGGGUAACAGAGACCGGCGUACGGGUGCGUAACGCGUAUACAAUCUGCCUUUCACUGGGGGAUAGCCCGAAGAAAUUUGGAUUAAUACCCCAUAGUAUAGUAGUGUGGCAUCACACGACUAUUAAAGCCUUGGUGGUGAAAGAUGAGUAUGCGUUCUAUUAGCUAGUUGGAGAGGUAACGGCUCCCCAAGGCGAUGAUAGAUAGGGGUUCUGAGAGGGAUGUCCCCCACACUGGUACUGAGAUACGGACCAGACUCCUACGGGAGGCAGCAGUGAGGAAUAUUGGACAAUGGUCGGAAGGCUGAUCCAGCCAUGCCGCGUGCAGGAUGAAGGUCUUAUGGAUUGUAAACUGCUUUUGUAAGGGAAGAAUAAGAGCUACGCGUAGUUUGAUGACGGUACCUUACGAAUAAGCAUCGGCUAACUCCGUGCCAGCAGCCGCGGUAAUACGGAGGAUGCGAGCGUUAUCCGGAAUCAUUGGGUUUAAAGGGUCUGUAGGCGGGCUGGUAAGUCAGAGGUGAAAGCGCUCAGCUCAACUGAGCAACUGCCUUUGAAACUGUUGGUCUUGAAUGGUUGUGAAGUAGUUGGAAUGUGUAGUGUAGCGGUGAAAUGCUUAGAUAUUACACAGAACACCGAUAGCGAAGGCAUACUACUAACA
rnacentral:rRNA from 1 species